UUGACCUCAAAUCAGGUAGGACUACCCGCUGAACUUAAGCAUAUCAAUAAGCGGAGGAAAAGAAACUAACAAGGAUUCCCCUAGUAACUGCGAGUGAAGCGGGAAAAGCUCAAAUUUAAAAUCUGGCAGUCUUUGGCUGUCCGAGU
rnacentral:rRNA from 1 species